AGUGAACGCUGGCGGUAGGCCUAACACAUGCAAGUCGAACGGCAGCACAGUAAGAGCUUGCUCUUACGGGUGGCGAGUGGCGGACGGGUGAGGAAUACAUCGGAAUCUACUUUUUCGUGGGGGAUAACGUAGGGAAACUUACGCUAAUACCGCAUACGACCUACGGUUGAAAGCAGGGGAUCUUCGGACCUUGCGCGAUUGUCUGAGCCGAUGUCGGAUUAGCUAGUUGGCGGGGUAAAGGCCCACCAAGGCGACGAUCCGUAGCUGGUCUGAGAGGAUGAUCAGCCACACUGGAACUGAGACACGGUACAGACUCCUACGGGAGGCAGCAGUGGGGAAUAUUGGAAAAUGGGCGCAAGACUGAUCCAGCCAUACCGCGUGGGUGAAGAAGGCCUUCGGGUUGUAAAGCCCUUUUGUUGGGAAAGAAAAGCAGCAGGUUAAUACCCCGCUGUUCUGACGGUACCCAAAGAAGAAGCACCGGCUAACUUCGUG
rnacentral:rRNA from 1 species